GCAUGGGUUUGGAUUUAUGGCAGGCCCGUCCCACCGGGCCUCUCAUAGUGUCCCAUGCCACAUCAAAUCGUAACCCCGAACCAUUGCCUGGCCUUGUCCGUUGGCUUUGGCACUGAAGCGGGUUGCACAGUG
rnacentral:snoRNA from 1 species